rnacentral:rRNA from 1 species
UACGAAGGGGGCUAGCGUUGUUCGGAAUUACUGGGCGUAAAGCGCACGUAGGCGGAUUUGUAAGUCAGGGGUGAAAUCCCGGGGCUCAACCUCGGAACUGCCUUUGAUACUGCAAGUCUCGAGUCCGAUAGAGGUGAGUGGAAUUCCUAGUGUAAAGGUGAAAUUCGUAGAUAUUAGGAAGAACACCAGUGGCGAAGGCGGCUCACUGGAUCGGUACUGACGCUGAGGUGCGAAAGCGUGGGGAGCAAACAGG